AUUGAACGCUGGCGGCAGGCUUAACACAUGCAAGUCGAGCGGAGAGAAGUAGCUUGCUACUGAUCUUAGCGGCGGACGGGUGAGUAAUGCUUAGGAAUCUGCCUAUUAGUGGGGGACAACAUUUCGAAAGGAAUGCUAAUACCGCAUACGUCCUACGGGAGAAAGCAGGGGAUCUUCGGACCUUGCGCUAAUAGAUGAGCCUAAGUCGGAUUAGCUAGUUGGUGGGGUAAAGGCCUACCAAGGCGACGAUCUGUAGCGGGUCGGAGAGGAUGAUCCGCCACACGGGGACUGAGACACGGCCAAGACUCCUACGGGAGGCAGCAGGGGGGAAUAUUGGACAAUGGGCGGAAGCCUGAUCCAGCAAUGCCGCGUGUGUAAAGAAGGCCUUAUGGUUGUAAAGCACUUUAAGCGAGGAGGAGGCUACUUUAGUUAAUCCCUAGAGAUAGUGGACGUUACCCGCAGAAUAAGCACCGGCUAACUCUGUGCCAGCAGCCGCCGCAG
rnacentral:rRNA from 1 species